rnacentral:rRNA from 1 species
UUAAGCGACUAAGCGUACACGGUGGAUGCCCUGGCAGUCAGAGGCGAUGAAGGGCGUGCUAAUCUGCGAUAAGCGCCGGUAAGGUGAUAUGAACCGUUAUAACCGGCGAUACCCGAAUGGGGAAACCCAGUGUGACUCGUCACACUAUCAUUAACUGAAUCCAUAGGUUAAUGAGGCGAACCGGGGGAACUGAAACAUCUAAGUACCCCGAGGAAAAGAAAUCAACCGAGAUUCCCCCAGUAGCGGCGAGCGAACGGGGAGGAGCCCAGAGCCUGAAUCAGCAUGUGUGUUAGUGGAAGCGUCUGGAAAGGCGCGCGAUACAGGGUGACAGUCCCGUACACAAAAGCGCAUGUGCUGUGAGCUCGAUGAGUAGGGCGGGACACGUGGUAUCCUGUCUGAAUAUGGGGGGACCAUCCUCCAAGGCUAAAUACUCCUGACUGACCGAUAGUGAACCAGUACCGUGAGGGAAAGGCGAAAAGAACCCCGGCGAGGGGAGUGAAAAAGAACCUGAAACCGUGUACGUACAAGCAGUGGGAGCCCCACCACUAAGCCAGUGGUGAACUCCACAUACGCAUCCUUUGCUGAGGAUACGGUUAACGGAGCGAAAGCGACGUUCAACCGCAAAAGAAGCAGAGGGGGCUUAGUGGUGGGGUGACUGCGUACCUUUUGUAUAAUGGGUCAGCGACUUAUAUUCUGUAGCAAGGUUAACCGAAUAGGGGAGCCGGAGGGAAACCGAGUCUUAAUUGGGCGUUAAGUUGCAGGGUAUAGACCCGAAACCCGGUGAUCUAGCCAUGGGCAGGUUGAAGGUUGGGUAACACUAACUGGAGGACCGAACCGACUAAUGUUGAAAAAUUAGCGGAUGACCUGUGGCUGGGGGUGAAAGGCCAAUCAAACCGGGAGAUAGCUGGUUCUCCCCGAAAGCUAUUUAGGUAGCGCCUCGUGAAUUCAUCUCCGGGGGUAGAGCACUGUUUCGGCUAGGGGGCCAUCCCGGCUUACCAACCCGAUGCAAACUGCGAAUACCGGAGAAUGUUAUCACGGGAGACACACGGCGGGUGCUAACGUCCGUCGUGAAGAGGGAAACAACCCAGACCGCCAGCUAAGGUCCCAAAGUCAUGGUUAAGUGGGAAACGAUGUGGGAAGGCCCAGACAGCCAGGAUGUUGGCUUAGAAGCAGCCAUCAUUUAAAGAAAGCGUAAUAGCUCACUGGUCGAGUCGGCCUGCGCGGAAGAUGUAACGGGGCUAAACCAUGCACCGAAGCUGCGGCAGCGAACGUAUCACUUAAAGCGAUUCAGCGGGUUACGAUUGACGGAGCGAAGCGACGUCAAAGCGUAUACAAAGUCGAGUCGGUUUAAGGAUACGUUCGUUGGGUAGGGGAGCGUUCUGUAAGCCUGCGAAGGUGGCCUGUGAGGGUUGCUGGAGGUAUCAGAAGUGCGAAUGCUGACAUAAGUAACGAUAAAGCGGGUGAAAAGCCCGCUCGCCGGAAGACCAAGGGUUCCUGUCCAACGUUAAUCGGGGCAGGGUGAGUCGACCCCUAAGGCGAGGCCGAAAGGCGUAGUCGAUGGGAAACGGGUUAAUAUUCCCGUACUUGGUGUUACUGCGAAGGGGGGACGGAGAAGGCUAUGUUGGCCGGGCGACGGUUGUCCCGGUUUAAGCGUGUAGGUGUGUGUUCCAGGUAAAUCCGGUUCACUUUAACACUGAGGCGUGAUGACGAGGCACUACGGUGCUGAAGCAACAAAUGCCCUGCUUCCAGGAAAAGCCUCUAAGCAUCAGGUAACAUCAAAUCGUACCCCAAACCGACACAGGUGGUCAGGUAGAGAAUACCAAGGCGCUUGAGAGAACUCGGGUGAAGGAACUAGGCAAAAUGGUGCCGUAACUUCGGGAGAAGGCACGCUGACACGUAGGUGAAGUGAUUUACUCAUGGAGCUGAAGUCAGUCGAAGAUACCAGCUGGCUGCAACUGUUUAUUAAAAACACAGCACUGUGCAAACACGAAAGUGGACGUAUACGGUGUGACGCCUGCCCGGUGCCGGAAGGUUAAUUGAUGGGGUCAGCGCAAGCGAAGCUCCUGAUCGAAGCCCCGGUAAACGGCGGCCGUAACUAUAACGGUCCUAAGGUAGCGAAAUUCCUUGUCGGGUAAGUUCCGACCUGCACGAAUGGCGUAAUGAUGGCCAGGCUGUCUCCACCCGAGACUCAGUGAAAUUGAACUCGCUGUGAAGAUGCAGUGUACCCGCGGCAAGACGGAAAGACCCCGUGAACCUUUACUAUAGCUUGACACUGAACAUUGAGCCUUGAUGUGUAGGAUAGGUGGGAGGCUUUGAAGUGUGGACGCCAGUCUGCAUGGAGCCGACCUUGAAAUACCACCCUUUAAUGUUUGAUGUUCUAACGUGGACCCGUAAUCCGGGUUGCGGACAGUGUCUGGUGGGUAGUUUGACUGGGGCGGUCUCCUCCUAAAGAGUAACGGAGGAGCACGAAGGUUGGCUAAUCCUGGUCGGACAUCAGGAGGUUAGUGCAAUGGCAUAAGCCAGCUUGACUGCGAGCGUGACGGCGCGAGCAGGUGCGAAAGCAGGUCAUAGUGAUCCGGUGGUUCUGAAUGGAAGGGCCAUCGCUCAACGGAUAAAAGGUACUCCGGGGAUAACAGGCUGAUACCGCCCAAGAGUUCAUAUCGACGGCGGUGUUUGGCACCUCGAUGUCGGCUCAUCACAUCCUGGGGCUGAAGUAGGUCCCAAGGGUAUGGCUGUUCGCCAUUUAAAGUGGUACGCGAGCUGGGUUUAGAACGUCGUGAGACAGUUCGGUCCCUAUCUGCCGUGGGCGCUGGAGAACUGAGGGGGGCUGCUCCUAGUACGAGAGGACCGGAGUGGACGCAUCACUGGUGUUCGGGUUGUCAUGCCAAUGGCACUGCCCGGUAGCUAAAUGCGGAAGAGAUAAGUGCUGAAAGCAUCUAAGCACGAAACUUGCCCCGAGAUGAGUUCUCCCUGAGACUUUAGGUCUCCUGAAGGAACGUUGAAGACGACGACGUUGAUAGGCCGGGUGUGUAAGCGCAGCGAUGCGUUGAGCUAACCGGUACUAAUGAACCGUGAGGCUUAACCUU